AUUGAACGCUGGCGGCAGGCCUAACACAUGCAAGUCGAGCGAGUGGCGGACGGGUGUGUAAUGUAUGGGGAUCUGCCCGAUAGAGGGGGAUAACUACUGGAAACGGUGGCUAACACCGCAUGACAACGGAUGAACCCAUGUGGGAUUGGCUUUUAGGUUGGGUAAAGGCUCACCUGGGCGACGAUGUCUAGCUGGUCUGAGAGGAUGAUCAGCCACACGUGAACUGAGACACGGCCCAGACUCCUACGGGAGGCAGUAGUGGGGAAUAUUGCACAAUGGGCGCAAGCCUGAUGCAGCCAUGCCGCGUGUAUGAAGAAGGCCUUCGGGUUGUAAAGUACUUUCAGGCGGGAGGCGUUACCGACAGAAGAAGCACCGGCUAACUCCGUGCCAGCCGCCGCGGUAAUUC
rnacentral:rRNA from 1 species